rnacentral:rRNA from 1 species
AACGAACGCUGGCGGCAUGCCUAACACAUGCAAGUCGAACGAAACCUUCGGGUCUAGUGGCGCACGGGUGCGUAACGCGUGGGAACCUGCCCUUAGGUUCGGAAUAACUCCCCGACAGGGGUGCUAAUACCGGAUAAUGUCUUCGGACCAAAGAUUUAUCGCCGUUGGAUGGGCCCGCGUUGGAUUAGCUAGUUGGUAGGGUAAAAGCCUACCAAGGCGACGAUCCAUAGCUGGUCUGAGAGGAUGAUCAGCCACACUGGGACUGAGACACGGCCCAGACUCCUACGGGAGGCAGCAGUGGGGAAUAUUGGACAAUGGGCGAAAGCCUGAUCCAGCAAUGCCGCGUGAGUGAUGAAGGCCUUAGGGUUGUAAAGCUCUUUUACCCGGGAUGAUAAUGACAGUACCGGGAGAAUAAGCUCCGGCUAACUCCGUG